rnacentral:rRNA from 1 species
GUAGGUGGCAAGCGUUGUCCGGAAUUAUUGGGCGUAAAGCGCGCGCAGGCGGUUCUUUAAGUCUGAUGUGAAAGCCCACGGGCUCAACCGUGGAGGGUCGUUGGAAACUGGAGAACUUGAGUACAGAAGAGGAAAGCGGAAUUCCACGUGUAGCGGUGAAAUGCGUAGAGAUGUGGAGGAACACCAGUGGCGAAGGCGGCUUUCUGGUCUGUAACUGACGCUGAGGCGCGAAAGCGUGGGGAGCAAACAGGAUUAGAUACCCUGGUAGUCCACGCCGUAAACGAUGAGUGCUAAGUGUUAGGGGGUUUCCGCCCCUUAGUGCUGCAGCUAACGCAUUAAGCACUCCGCCUGGGGAGUACGGCCGCAAAGGCUG